rnacentral:sRNA from 1 species
AUUGUUUCUUCUUCUUCUUA